UGGGGAAUAUUGCACAAUGGGCGCAAGCCUGAUGUAGCCAUGCCGCGUGUGUGAAGAAGGCCUUCGGGUUGUAAAGCACUUUCAGCGGGGAGGAAGGCGUUAAGGUUAAUAACCUUGGCGAUUGACGUUACCCGCAGAAGAAGCACCGGCUAACUCCGUGCCAGCAGCCGCGGUAAUACGGAGGGUGCAAGCGUUAAUCGGAAUUACUGGGCGUAAAGCGCACGCAGGCGGUCUGUCAAGUCGGAUGUGAAAUCCCCGGGCUCAACCUGGGAACUGCAUUCGAAACUGGCAGGCUAGAGUCUUGUAGAGGGGGGUAGAAUUCCAGGUGUAGCGGUGAAAUGCGUAGAGAUCUGGAGGAAUACCGGUGGCGAAGGCGGCCCCCUGGACAAAGACUGACGCUCAGGUGCGAAAGCGUGGGGAGCAAACAGG
rnacentral:rRNA from 1 species